rnacentral:rRNA from 1 species
CAAACCGGAGGAAGGUGGGGAUGACGUCAAAUCAUCAUGCCCCUUAUGAUUUGGGCUACACACGUGCUACAAUGGACAAUACAAAGGGCAGCGAAACCGCGAGGUCAAGCAAAUCCCAUAAAGUUGUUCUCAGUUCGGAUUGUAGUCUGCAACUCGACUACAUGAAGCUGGAAUCGCUAGUAAUCGUAGAUCAGCAUGCUACGGUGAAUACGUUCCCGGGUCUUGUACACACCGCCCGUCACACCACGAGAGUUUGUAACACCCGAAGCCGGUGGAGUAACCUUUUAGGAGCUAGCCGUCGAAGGUGGGACAAAUGAUUGGGGUGAAGUCGUAACAAGGUAGCCGUAUCGGAAGGUGCGGCUGGAUCACCUCCUUU